rnacentral:rRNA from 1 species
GACGGAGGAUGCAAGCGUUAUCCGGAAUGAUUGGGCGUAAAGCGUCCGCAGGUGGCAGUUCAAGUCUGCUGUCAAAGACCGGGGCUUAACUUCGGAAAGGCAGUGGAAACUGAACAGCUAGAGUAUGGUAGGGGCAGAGGGAAUUCCUGGUGUAGGCGGUGAAAUGCGUAGAGAUCAGGAAGAACAUCGGUGGCGAAGGCGCUCUGCUGGAACCAUAACUGACACUCAGGGACGAAAGCUAGGGGAGCGAAAUGGG